rnacentral:lncRNA from 1 species
AAAGGCUGCAAGUGUAACUACAUUUCUCCAAGAGAAAAAUAUAAAGAUGUAUUUAAUAAUCAUGUUGAAGACUUUGGAAGAAAAUAUUAAUGACAGGAACAUGGAAAACUAACAAUGAAAAAGAAAAAUGAGGAGUGAAUGGCACCAUAACAAACAAUAGUAUGUCACCUGCAUCCGUGUGAAGAGACCACCAAACAGGCUUUAUAUGUUGGCACUGGGACUCGGCAAGGUGAAGAACCUUGCUCAAGGUCAAGCUAGUGGGCACCUGACUUCUAG